UCUUGAGAUCAUGACCUGAGCCGAAGGCAGCCGCUUAACCAGCUGAGCCACCAAGGCGUCCCAGGAAAGUAAAUUCUAAGUGUAUGAGAAAAUUUUGAGGCAAGCUCAGAAAGUGAUGAAGAUGAAGCAGGCACCUUCCAGCACCCAGAACAACUGGAAGGAACAUACUUUUACAGUCAAUUCCUUAUUCCACACCAAGGAGAAUGAUGAGUCCAGCUUCCCAUGCAAGCCUGGGGAACUCAGAACCGGGAGGAGAGCAAGGGAAAGAGGCUGCCAUAGUAGAAACCCAGAGAAUGAACCUCCUCCCAGGAGUUGGCAAGGCUGUCCUUGUUAAAGAGCCUGUUCUGGUUUAAAGCUGUCCUGACAACAAAUGAGAAACUGAAUUCAUUUGUUAGCAGAUGCAUCUCCCAGACUGAACAACAUUAGCUUCUCAAGCAUGGGGCUAUUGAUUUCUGUUUCUGCAGAGUGUGCCGGAGACCCUGGCACU